CGCCCGCCGGCGACCGGCGCACGGGUGAGUAACACGUAUGCAACCUGGCCGCCACAGGGGGAUAACCCGCGGAAACGCGGCCUAAUACCCCGUGACGCCACCGGAGGGCAUCCUCCGGUGGCCAAAGGAGCGAUCCGGGUGGCGGGUGGGCAUGCGGCGCAUUAGCUAGACGGCGGGGUGACGGCCCACCGUGGCGACGAUGCGUAGGGGUUCUGAGAGGAAGGCCCCCCACACUGGGACUGAGACACGGCCCAGACUCCUACGGAAGGCAGCAG
rnacentral:rRNA from 1 species